UCAGUCCGGUUUGUCUUCGAUUCCACGCAUAAAUUGUUCGCCUUUUACUAAAGAUUUCUGUAGAGAGGAACACUCUAAUGAGUCUAUAGACAUUUUUGCAGCCCUGCCAUCGCAGGAU